CUCUCUGAAAAGUUCAGGGGCUGAAAGAUCAGCCUUCCCUGCUCUCAGUUCUGCUGGAAGGCAGAGGGUGCUUGUCCCCGUCAACAAGAAAGGGGAGAAGAAGUGCAAACUUCAGGCUGGUGGUGCUUAGCACUGAACAGUACAAACCAAGACAAGAGACACCCACAGUCUCGGCCCAGCAACAGCAAACGUGUGGGGAUGAAAGGGUCAACAGUCUCCACAGAGCUGAGCGACGGGGUUGUCCUAUGAACCCUUCUUUGGGAAUCUUGUUGGAGUUCUGCUUCAGCACAAUGAAGCUAACGGGUAUCAGAGAAGACUGUCUCCUUCAUCUUCAUAGAAACAGCACUUGAGAAACAUUGCCAGCUGCAGAGAGACGGUCACGAUGCCUGACGUCCAUCGCCCCAGCCUUUCCAUCAACUGCACUGACAAACUCUCUUUCAUGCCUUGGCCACAGUGAGCUGACCUGCAACUAGGAGACACACUCAACAGAGAGAUGCAAAGCGGCUCCUUUCUUUAUCCCAUCCAAGAAUUCCUCCUGUAGGAAGAGAGGCCCUGGAGAGACAGCUCCGGCACGAAGAACACUUGCUGCAAGAUCUUGCAAAGGACACAGACUGGGUUCCCAGCACCUUCAUCUGGUGGCUCACAAGUGCCUGUAACUCCAGUUCCAGAAGAUCCAACAUUCUCUUCUGGUCUCUGUGGCACACAAAUUUACUCAGGCAUACACGCAAAGAAAUAAAUCUUUGAGUGAGGGAGGAAAAGAAAAAGGACAGAACUCAAGUGUCCAAUCAGAUUGAAACCCAUCUAUGCUUCCUCCUUGUCUACAGUUCAGUAGACCCUGUCACGUGGCACUGUCUGCAAUCUGUAGCCACUUCUCCCUACAUCACCUCUGGGGUCCAGUCACAGAGACCCCUUCCAGCAAUGUGGAUGGGAGGCUCUUCCUGAGCCUGAUUCCUUCUCUUUCUCCUCACACCCACACCCUGACAGUCUCAGUCUUCUUGAGUUAUUGAUGACUCAAGUUUCAGAACUUAUCCAAUACUGUACUUUUCCCCAGAAGCCCUCUUUGAUGUCCUGUCUCCUUCCAAAUUUAGACCAGGGCUUCCUCCUACGUGCCCUCUGUGUCCCUUUUUUUCCUUUUUCAGUACACAGUGCAGAUAAGUGUGUCUAUUUUAAAUAAAACCAUAUAAGUGUGUGUGUGUGUGUGUGUGUGUGUGU